GGAGUUUGGUCCGUGUCUCAGUACCAAUGUGGGGGACCUUCCUCUCAGAACCCCUACUGAUCGAUGGCUUGGUGGGCCGUUACCCCGCCAACAACCUAAUCAGACGCAUCCCCAUCCCUUAGCGGUAAACCUUUGCUUCUCGUCAGAUGCCAUCAAAGAAGAACAUAGAGCAUUAAUCCGACUUUCGCCGGGCUAUUCUCUACUAAGGGCCAGGUUGGAUACGCGUUACUCACCCGUGCGCCGGUCGCCGACAAAGAAAGCAAGCUUCCUUCUCGCUGCCCCUCGACUUGCAUGUGUUAAGCCUGUAGCUAGCGUUCAUC
rnacentral:rRNA from 1 species